rnacentral:rRNA from 1 species
CCCUUAGAUGUCCUGGGCCGCACGCGUGCUACACUGACGCCUACAGCGAGUACUUCCCAGCCCCGAGAGGUGGCUGGUAAUCAGCAAUAGGCGUCGUGAUGGGGAUAGAUCUUUGGAAUUAUGGAUCUUGAACGAGGAAUGCCUAGUAAGCGCAGGUCAUUAGCCUGCGCUGAUUAGGUCCCUGCCCUUUGUACACACCGCCCGUCGCUCCUACCGAUUUCGAGUGGUCCGGUGAAUCUUUCGGACUGCGCGCGGCCUCGUGCCGUGUCGCGGAAAGUCAGGUAAACCUUAUCACUUAGAGGAAGGAGAAGUCGUAACA